CAGGCCUAACACAUGCAAGUCGAGCGGUAGCACAGAGAGCUUGCUCUCGGGUGACGAGCGGCGGACGGGUGAGUAAUGUCUGGGAAACUGCCUGAUGGAGGGGGAUAACUACUGGAAACGGUAGCUAAUACCGCAUAACGUCGCAAGACCAAAGUGGGGGACCUUCGGGCCUCAUGCCAUCAGAUGUGCCCAGAUGGGAUUAGCUAGUAGGUGGGGUAACGGCUCACCUAGGCGACGAUCCCUAGCUGGUCUGAGAGGAUGACCAGCCACACUGGAA
rnacentral:rRNA from 1 species